AGAUGUUGGGUCAGGGAGCUCACCGCUGUCAGGGCUCAAUCCUAGGGGCGGGAUGAACAGUUGUCUUUCAAAUUCCCUUUGCACGCAAUAGGAUAGCGCUACAACCAACCAACGCUAGUUGAUAGAAUAAACUCUGAACACAUCUUCCUUUUUUUAGAAUGAUUUCUAUGCCGUUCUUUGUUCUUUUCUCAAAGAAAAGCUUAACUCAAAGUCUUCCAGAAAACCGGUGUUCCCAGC